UACCUCAUCGAUUGGAAGGGUUUCCUUCCAGUCAAUGAGGUAGAUGUACCUCAUUGAUUGGAAGGGUUUCCUUCCGGUCAAUGAGGUA
rnacentral:miRNA from 1 species